GUCGUCGUCGGUGCUGCUGCCCACCCGCCGGGCGUUGUGACGCUUGCGGCGCUUGCGGCCCGUCACCGCCGACAUGAUGGACAGAGUCAGGAAGUCCUUGGCGGUGAGGUCUCUCUUGGAACCCCAGGACCCCUGAGGCAGAGCUACGAGGGUGCUCUAGCCGUUGGCCGCGGCCGGCGUUGGCCGGCGUUGGCCGGCGGUGCUCACCUGAAGCGUCGCCGAACAAAGCCGUCCGCCCAAUAUUGGAAAGCAGGUGGUCGAUGUUAGGGGCGGGCUGCACGUCUUCAGUGUCCACUGGCGUCUGGAUACAAAUUCUUGCCAUUAGGCCUCUUUGAUUGCUAACCCAUACAUUGAGACUUGAUGGUUCCAAACCUUUUCCUCCUUGUCCGUCUCCUCGCUGAAAAACCAGAGGUACUGGCAAAAAAAAAUCACGUCAUGAUAUUGAAUGUGUAAAGUGACAA